GGCAGCUGUGGGCACUCUCCAGCACAGAAGAGAGGGCAGGAUGGACAGCAUUCUUCAGCCACGCAAGCCUUUCCUGUACAUCCUUCUCCCAGCUUUAGUCGGAUUGAUUCAGAUGGAGAAAGCGAAUGUCUGCGCCGCUUGGCAUUUGCCCUGAACCAGACGUGACUAAUAUUUUCCAUGAAGACCCUUUUAAUAGAUUCCUUGUAGAAGGUUUGAUGUAGAGGUGUCAAUCAACACACCAUUCAUGUGACUGCCUCUUGCUUUGAGUGCCACUUCUCCGCAUUCGAAACUUCAAGAAACAUGAGAUGAAUUACUGCUCUGUCCCUCGUGGUGAACGAGCAUGAAUACUGGCGAGAGCCAGCAGAAGGGAGGGUGGUCAUUCAGCCAUAGAAGAAUUGGUCUUGAUAAUGAGCUACUGUAAAUCAGCAUCUGUUAUCACAACAACAGUACCGGGAAGGACCUGUGGGGAUCAUUACCUUUCCAAUAGAAGUCUUGCGUUAUUUGAAGUGGAUUUUGCUCUUAACUCAGAGCUCUGCAAGUCAAGCUUAAAAAAGAAA